GCCAGGUGUGGUGAUGUGCACCUGUAGUCCCAGAUUCUUGGGAGGCUGAGGCAGGAGGAUCACUUGAGCCCAGGAGCUCAGGGCUGCAGUGCACUAUGAUUGUGUCACUGCACCACAGCCUGACUGACAGACUGAGACUCUGUCUCUA
ensembl:misc_RNA Metazoa_SRP Metazoan signal recognition particle RNA